rnacentral:rRNA from 1 species
GAUGAACGCUGGCGGCGUGCCUAAUACAUGCAAGUCGAGCGAACGGACGAGAAGCUUGCUUCUCUGAUGUUAGCGGCGGACGGGUGAGUAACACGUGGAUAACCUACCUAUAAGACUGGGAUAACUUCGGGAAACCGGAGCUAGUACCGGAUAAUAUUUUGAACCGCAUGGUUCAAAAGUGAAAGACGGUUUUGCUGUCACUUAUAGAUGGAUCCGCGCUGCAUUAGCUAGUUGGUAAGGUAACGGCUUACCAAGGCAACGAUGCAUAGCCGACCUGAGAGGGUGAUCGGCCACACUGGAACUGAGACACGGUCCAGACUCCUACGGGAGGCAGCAGUAGGGAAUCUUCCGCAAUGGGCGAAAGCCUGACGGAGCAACGCCGCGUGAGUGAUGAAGGUCCUCGGAUCGUAAAACUCUGUUAUUAGGGAAGAACAUAUGUGUAAGUAACUGUGCACAUCUUGACGGUACCUAAUCAGAAAGCCACGGCUAACUACGUG